AGUGAACGCUGGCGGUAGGCCUAACACAUGCAAGUCGAACGGCAGCACAGUAAGAGCUUGCUCUUACGGGUGGCGAGUGGCGGACGGGUGAGGAAUACAUCGGAAUCUACUUUUUCGUGGGGGAUAACGUAGGGAAACUUACGCUAAUACCGCAUACGACCUACGGGUGAAAGCAGGGGAUCUUCGGACCUUGCGCGAUUGAAUGAGCCGAUGUCGGAUUAGCUAGUUGGCGGGGUAAAGGCCCACCAAGGCGACGAUCCGUAGCUGGUCUGAGAGGAUGAUCAGCCACACUGGAACUGAGACACGGUCCAGACUCCUACGGGAGGCAGCAGUGGGGAAUAUUGGACAAUGGGCGCAAGCCUGAUCCAGCCAUGCCGCGUGGGUGAAGAAGGCCUUCGGGUUGUAAAACCCUUUUGUUGGGAAAGAAAAGCAGCAGGUUAAUACCCCGCUGUUCUGACGGUACCCAAAGAAUAAGCACCGGCUAACUUCGUG
rnacentral:rRNA from 1 species